AAUAUUGCGCAAUGGGGGAAACCCUGACGCAGCGACGCCGCGUGAGUGAAGAAGGCCUUCGGGUUGUAAAACUCUGUCCUCAGGGAAGAAGUAAGUGACGGUACCUGAGGAGGAAGCCCCGGCUAACUACGUGCCAGCAGCCGCGGUAACACGUAGGGGGCGAGCGUUGUCCGGAAUUACUGGGCGUAAAGGGUGCGUAGGCGGCCUUUUAAGUCAGAUGUGAAAGACCACAGCUUAACUGUGGGGUUGCAUUUGAAACUGGGAGGCUUGAGUAUCGGAGAGGGUAGUGGAAUUCCAAGUGUAGCGGUGAUAUGCGUAGAUAUUUGGAGGAACACCAGUGGCGAAGGCGACUACCUGGACGAAAACUGACGCUGAGGCACGAGAGCUAGGGGAGCAAACA
rnacentral:rRNA from 1 species